GAUGAAGAACGCAGCGAAAUGCGAUACUUGGUGUGAAUUGCAGAAUCCCGUGAACCAUCGAGUCUUUGAACGCAAGUUGCGCCUCAAGCCAUUAGGUUGAGGGCACGUCUGCCUGGGCGUCACAUAUCGUUGCCUGAUGCCAGUUUCCUCGUGAUGGGUGACUGUGCAGGGCGAAUGAUGGCUUCCCGUGAGCAUUGUUGCCUCAUGGUUGGUUGAAAAUUGAGUCCUUGGUAGGGAGCGCCGUGAUAGAUAGUGGUUGAGUGACGAACGAGACCCAAUCAUGUGAGACCCCUACCGAAUUUGGCCUUCAUGACCCACAUGCGUCUUUGGAACGCUCAUGACGAGACCUCAGGUCAGGCGGGGCUACCCGCUGAGUUUAAGCAUAUCAAUAAGCGGAGGA
rnacentral:misc_RNA from 1 species